rnacentral:rRNA from 1 species
CAAAUGACUCUMGGCAAUGGAUAUCUCGGCUCUUGCAUCGAUGAAGAACGUAGUGAAAUGCGAUACUUGGUGUGAAUUGCAGAAUCUCGUGAACCAUUGAGUCUUUGAACGCAAGUUGUGCCCGAGGCCUUGUGGUCGAGGGCACGCCUGCUUGGGCGUCAUGG